AUUCUGUUUAAGGGCCAAUUUGUAUCUAGUUUUCAGUGAUUCUGGUGAACACGAUUCUCAAGCCGCAAACCUGUCACCACGUGUGCAGCUGGAUAGUCGACAUGUGCACGAGCAGCUGUGUUGACAAGAUGGUGGUCCUCAGCGCUCUGAGGGUCGAUGUCCCGUCCAGUCACGUGUCCAGUCACGUGGCACGUGCUACCAUCUACGAGAAGACGAUCAACGAUAUGCCACGUCAUAAGAUUAUUUCAGAGAACCAAUAAUGAUGCGACAAAAAUCAGCUUUGAUGAGGAUUUCUCGUUUGAAUUGAUUUACAAAGGGGAGAAAGUCACCAGUAGUGCAUCAACGAUUUACAACUGAAGGUUUGAAUUCUGACGAGGACCUGAAUGGUUUGAAAACGAGCUGACAACGACCUGUAUGGUUUGAAUGCUAGCUGAAAACGAUAUGUAGGGUUGAAAUGCUAGAUGACACCGACCUGUAUGGGUUGAAUGCGUGUUACCACAUUGUCCUUUCGGAACAAUGGCAGCGGAGAUGCGACGUUAAGGACAAAAGGAUACCCUCAGUCAUCUUUCAUCGAGCCAUUAAGAGAAUACGCCUUAUUCUAUUAAAUUUCUUCUCUUAAAUACGGAUAGUAAACGUAAUUGUUAACAUUCACGUUAUAAUUC